rnacentral:rRNA from 1 species
UGAGGAAUAUUGGUCAAUGGACGAGAGUCUGAACCAGCCAAGUAGCGUGCAGGAUGACGGCCCUAUGGGUUGUAAACUGCUUUUGUUUGGGAAUAAUCGACAUUACGUGUAAUGUUUUGCAUGUACCAUUCGAAUGAGGACCGGCUAAUUCCGUGCCAGCAGCCGCGGUAAUACGGAAGGUCCAGGCGUUAUCCGGAUUUAUUGGGUUUAAAGGGAGUGUAGGCGGUUGGUUAAGCGUGUUGUGAAAUGUACCGGCUCAACCGGUGAGUUGCAGCGCGAACUGUCAGGCUUGAGUGCACGGUAAGCAGGCGGAAUUCAUGGUGUAGCGAUGAAAUGCUUAGAUAUCAUGAGGAACUCCGAUUGCGAAGGCAGCUUGCUGCAGUGCGACUGACGCUUAGGCUCGAAGGUGCGGGUAUCAAACAGG